rnacentral:tRNA from 1 species
GUCCGACCCCAGCUACCAUACAUGGCAAUCGGAUGCGACCUUGACCCAGUUACUCUGGGAUUUCGGGGGCACCAAC